CCAUUCACUUUAUGCGGAAAAUCCGUACCAAUUGAUGAGGAUUGACUGCACGGAAUUGCCCGCGAACACCUGCGGAUUUCAGUGCGGAUUCUCCAUACAUGAAUUCUGAACGUGUGCCUGUACCCUUUCAGUUUGACAAGCCUGAAAAGCCUUUUUGAGAUGAUGCUGGAGGCUGGGCAAGACUGUACAUAGAGAGCAAACUGGACCAGUUCCUGCCACUGUUAUAAUCUGCCAGCCAAGGGGUCAGAGAACACGGAAGGUAAUGCAUUCUAGGAAAGAGAAGCUCAGUCUACAGUCAUCAAGGACACACCAGCAGAGCUGUCCUUCUGCAUAUCUUCUUCUUAAACUCCACCAUCCGUUUGGAAGCAUAUCUGUUUUACCACAAAAUUGAUUGAUCACAUCAAAUACUCCUGGUUUGCCAAUAAACAAGUUAGACUACAGAGAACAGUCCUCUUAUUUGGAAGACAGGAAUGGUUUAUACUGAAUGUCAGACUGCACACUGUGUGAACGUGUAUGAAGACAGAACAAUCUAUUAAUAUGAUUUCUGUAUCAGACAUGCUGCAUAUUGUCACA